GCCGAGGGGCCCUGCUGCACAGCACGGAGCAAAAAGCUCAUUCCAGCCAGCUAAGCCGCCUGCCUGUCUUUGUGCUUUUCGGGUGUUUGUGCUGGUCGGAGUGGGAGCGGAGACCCUGCAGCGCGGGCAGUUCCAGAGCCUGGCCGUCUAUCUGCUUUUCUCAGGGGCAGCAAUUUCCAUCUGGGAAGUCUCCUUCUUUGUCUGCCUGCUCCUGGGUGCCCCUGUGCCAC